AUUGGUGUGCGGGACACUGGGGACCCGCCUUCCUGUGUGACGUCACUGUCCAGUGCAAAUUUCCAAGCAACCGGACGGGGGCGAGAGGAGACGUUGGGGUGUCCCGGGAAGUUGUACAACCUCCAGGGUGCUGCUGCGGCGCUUGAGGCUGGCUGGGCGGAGGAGGGGGUCUGGUAGUAACUGGAGAGGGUUGUCCAGUUCCCCGGCGGGGACAUGCCCAUUCCCGGGGGUGGAGGGAGAUCAGAAACCACGCAUAAUCUUUUUCCAGAGCCCGGGGUUUUGCAAAUAGUGUUGCUCAGCAAGCGUUGGCAUUCCUAAGGCCUGGAGAGUGGACAGUUACUGCGAAUGCCAUUUCUGGAGCAGUUAUGAUAGUCAGGUAGGGGGUGAGGGCACACGUGCGGGCGGAGUGGAGUUCGAGAAUUGGAGACUCACUGCAUGCUAUCAGUGGCUCAUACCUCCUUUUGUGCAGCACAAGGGCAUAUACCGUGGAAGAGACAGAGUCAAGGUCCUGUGCUAGGCUGCUUUGCUGGGAAGUACAUCGUUUAGCUGAAAUUUUUUUCCCUCGCUGGAAACACACAGAGCUAAAUGCGUUCCUCUUCUUAUUCUCACAAAGAAGCUUAAAGCCACCCCGUCCUGGACUGAGCAAGACAUGACUAGUCAUCAGAAUGGAGCUUUUCAGCACCUUCAGCACAUUUUUCUCAGGACUAAUAAGCCUGGGAGGUCUUUAGAGGCCGGUCUCUCACUCAGGUGCUAAGUGGCUCCCAGUAAAAUCUUAGAGCAUUACAUCUACCUGCCUUCUAAGACUCUGGUCUCCGGGUUCUUAAACUCAUCUUGAGCUGACCUCUUAAAGUGUAACACAGGUUGCUUUAUUUCAACCUAAACAGUAUUGUCUUGCUGUAUUUCGGGGAUGGAGGAGAAAUCAGAAAGCAGGGGACCUGUCUAUGGAAGUCUUCUCUGGGAAAGUAGGGCACCUGCACGUCUAAAUGUUCUGGGGCUUAAGACUUGGCACUUCUGAGAUACCAGACACCUUAUCCAGAGAAGCCUUCUGGUCAGGAGAGCUGGGCCUUGAGAUAGGAAAGGGUGGGGGAGAUCCCCAAGAUGCUGCACCCACUCUACCCUCACCCUGCUCCCAAGCUUCAGGUCACAGCAACCCAGGCACCUUCCAGGGAUUCGAGAUACAGUGAUGUGAGCAUUGUCCUUGAAGGCCAAGGGCACCAAUUUCCCAUUUUGGGUAGCGGCCAAUAGAUGUAGUCUUCUAAUGGAUGAGGAGCCUUCUGGACUUUGCAAUGGUGAUAUUGGUGGAGAGAAGCCAUCCUCUGGAUGAUUAAGGGGACUCCUGGCAAACGUAAACAGGCCCAUAAACUUAAGAGAUAUCAGACGUUUUAAGAACUUCAUUAAGGGGGCGCCUGGGUGGAUCAGUGGGUUAAAGCCUCUGCCUUCAGCUCAGGUCAUGAUCCCAGGGUCCUGGAAUCGAGCCCCGCAUCGGGCUCUCUGCUCAGCGGGAAGCCUGCUUCCUCCUCUCUCUCUCUCUCUCUCUCUCUCUCUCUGCUUGCCUCUCCUCCUACUUAUGAUCUCUCUCUCUCUUCUCUCUCUCUCUCUCUGUGUCAAAUAAAUAAAAUUUAAAAAACUUCACUAAGUAAAUAUUAAGCCAGAAUAAUUUAGAAAAUAUUUGGAAUACUAUAAGCAUUCAAUAUUUUUUUCUCAUCCUGUAAGGUAGAUAUGGUGGGUUGGCACUCAGCAUCUAUCUUAAACUCCUUCUUGUACUGCAGUGGCCAGAAAUUUGUAAACCUCAUUAAUCAGAUCCUUGCAGCUCAUAGUCCAGAUGUGAAUUCUUAUAUUGUGCCAGUUGGAUGAACUGGAGAGAUCUGGGAGGCAGAAAAGAGAAGGAGGUCACCUUCCUGCUGCUUUGAUGUUUUCUGCUGCCUAGCAAAGCCAUAGACACUUGGAUAAGAGUGGGCAAUGACUUUCCUCUUGCAACAGCCCUGCAGUGUCUGGUCACCAGAUUCAUGGAUGUCAAGAAGCAAUGUGGCAGCAGGAACGGUAGCAACCUCCUGAUCCCUGUACCGUAGCUUCAGCAGAUGGCCUUCCUCGCCUUCCAGGACAUGCCAGAGGACCCCUUGGGAUGCCAGUUUGGGAAUGUGGAUCUGAGAGUUUUUCCUGAAGGCCCAGCCUAGGUUUCAGCUCCAACAAUACUGUAUAUGGUAGCAGGAGGGCAUAAUACGGAAGGAACCAUUCCUGGACAUCAGAAUACAGCCACUAGCCCUGGUCCUAGACUUCUGUGCAAGGCUACCAGCUACCAUCACCCAGUGCUUUAGCCCCACUGUCAACAAAGAGGGCAUAGGGGCUCAGGAGCAGAGCCGUGAUCCUUUCCUAUAGAGUGAACCUGGAGACUCAAGAUGACUUGGCUCGGUUCCACUGGGGUCUCUAUGUAAAGUUCCUGAAUGUGACAUUCUGAAGAUGUCAUCAUACUGCCAUAGCCCAUCUGGGAGCCAGCCUUCAUUUUGAAAGGGGAGUGGGGAGCUGAAGAGGGUAGAAGGUGAAGAGCACUUGACUUGGAGUUAUGGACUUGUUUGAACCCUGGUUCCGCCAUUUACUUGCUAUGUGGUUCCUGCCCAUUGGUUGGCAUACUUCCUCAUUUGUUGGUGAAGGAAGCACAAAAAAUGAGAAAAUAAAAAUCUCGUGGUGAAGCAUAUAUGAUUUGGGAGUACUGAAAGGAAAGAAAAUGGGAAGGAGUUAACAGUACAGAGGAAAAGUCAUGGAAUACGGACUUAUCAACCUCUUGGAAGACAUAAUACCAGGAGGAGUAGCUUCCCAGAAUGCUGAAAGUCAAGGUUAUUUUUAAAAUCUCUAACAACAGAAAAUUGUACACUUGAACCCUACCCAGCGUGGACAGGCUAUAAGGCCAGAGUGCUCGAGGACUACUGA